rnacentral:rRNA from 1 species
UACGUUCGGAUUGUAGGCUGCAACUCGCCUACAUGAAGCUGGAAUUGCUAGUAAUCACAGGUCAGCAUACUGUGGUGAAUACGUUCCCGGGCCUUGUACACACCACCCGUCACACCAUGAGAGUUGAGAAUACCCGAAGUCCAUGUCAAAGUGGCCGAAGGUAGGCUUGAUGAUUGGGGUGAAGUCGUAACAAGGUAAC